GGGGCUGAUUCUGGAUUCGACGGGAUUUGCGAAGCCCUAGGAGCAUGCCGAGGGGCGGUUGGCCUCGUAAAAAGCCGCAAAAAAAUAGUCGCAAACGACGAAAACUACGCUUUAGCAGCUUAAUACCCUGCUUAGAGCCCUCUCUCCCUAGCCUCCGCUCUUAGGACGGGGAUCAAGAGAGGUCAAACCCAAAAGAGAUCGCGUGGAAGCCCUGCCUGGGGUUGA
rnacentral:tmRNA from 1 species